rnacentral:rRNA from 1 species
UACAGAGGUCUCAAGCGUUGUUCGGAUUCAUUGGGCGUAAAGGGUGCGUAGGUGGCGCCGUAAGUCAGGUGUGAAAUCUCGGAGCUCAACUCCGAAACUGCACUUGAUACUGCGGUGCUCGAGUACUGGAGAGGAGAUUGGAAUUUACGGUGUAGCAGUGAAAUGCGUAGAUAUCGUAAGGAAGACCAGUGGCGAAGGCGGCCUUCUGGACCAGCACUGACACUCAAGCACGAAAGCGUGGGGAGCAAACAGG